UACGUAGGGCGCAAGCGUUAUCCGGAAUUAUUGGGCGUAAAGAGCUCGUAGGCGGUUUGUCGCGUCUGCCGUGAAAGUCCGGGGCUUAACCCCGGAUCUGCGGUGGGUACGGGCAGACUUGAGUGAUGUAGGGGAGACUGGAAUUCCUGGUGUAGCGGUGAAAUGCGCAGAUAUCAGGAGGAACACCGAUGGCGAAGGCAGGUCUCUGGGCAUUAACUGACGCUGAGGAGCGAAAGCAUGGGGAGCAAACAGG
rnacentral:rRNA from 1 species